GCCUGUGUAGUGCAGUGGUUUGAGCACUGGACUUCCACUCUGGAGACCAGGGUUCAAAUUCCCAUAUGUC
rnacentral:tRNA from 1 species